AAAUUAUAGACAGCCAGUGUGUGACUGGCUUUCUUGAAGGAUUUGUAUUUACCAAUAUCUCAGUAGGACACUUCCUUCAGACCCUUGUAAUAUAGACAGCCAGUGUGUGAUGGUGGUGUCUUGCAGGAUUUGUUUUUACCCAUAUCUCAGUAGGACUUUAUCUUCAGACACUUGUAAUUAUAGACAGCCAGUGUGUGAUGGAGGUGUCUUGCAGGAUUUGUAUUUUCCAAUAUCUCAGUAGGACUCUUCUUUCAGACUCUUGUAAUUAUAGACAGACAGUUUCUUCACCAACUUGCAUGAAGACUUAGAGGCAGCUAGUACAUGGUAGUGUUAUCUUGCAGUAAUCAUAUCUACCCAUAUCUCAGUAAAAAUCUUCCUUCACACACUUGUAUUUAGAAGCAGCUAGUACAUGAUGAUGGUGCCUUGCAGUUAUCGUAUCUACCCAUAUCACAGUAAAAAUCUUCCUUCACACACUUGUGAUUAUAGACAGCUAGUAUGUGAUGAAUGUUUCUUGCAGUAAUUGUAACUACCAAUAUCUCAGUACGAAUCUGCCUUCAGACUCUUGUAAUUAUAGACAGCCAGUUUCUUCACACACUUGCAUGUAGAGGCAGCUAGUACAUGAUGGUGUGAUCUUGCAGUUUUCCUAUCUACCCAUAUCUCAGAAAAAAAUCUUCCUUCACACACUUUCAUGUAGAGGCAGCUAUAACAAGAUGGUGUUAUCUUGGAGUCAUCGUAUCUACCCAUAUCUAAGUAAAAACCUUCCUUCACACACUGUCAUGAAGAAGUAGCUAGUACAUGGCGGUGUUAUCUUGCAGUAAUCGUGUCUACCCAUAUCUCAGUAAAAAUCUUUCUUCACACACUUGCAUGUACAGGCAGCUAGUACAUGAUGGUGUUAUCUUGCAGUUUUUCUAUCUACCCAUAUCUCUGUAAAACUCUUCCUUCACACACUCGCAUGUACAGGCAACUAGUACAUGAUGGUGUUAUCUUGCAGUUUUCGUAUCUACCCACUCUGUAAAACUCUUCCUUCACACACUUGCAUGUACAGGCAGUUAGUACAUGAUGGUGUUAUCUUGCAGUUUUCCUAUCUACCCAUAUUUCAGUAAAAAUCUUCCUUCACACACUUGCAUGUACAGGCAGCUAGUACAUAAUGGUGUUUUCUUGCAGUUAUCGUAUCUACCAAUGUCUCUGUAAAACUCUUCCUUCACACACUUGCAUGUACAGGCAGCUAGUACAUGAUGGUGUUAUCUUGCAGUUUU
rnacentral:lncRNA from 1 species